UUUUUUUCGACGAGCUUCCGGCGAUCUUCCGAUGAACUUUCGAUGAUCUCUCAGCAAUCUUUCAAUGGACUUCCGACAAGCUGCUGGACUUCAUGACGAUCUUCUUAGCGAGUUUUGACGAGUUUCUUCUUGGCCAAUUCCGACAGCAUUUUUGACAAACUUCUGGACUUCCGACGAACUCUCAAACUCUCAACGAAAUCUCAAUCUUGACUCUGGCACUUCGUUUU
rnacentral:lncRNA from 1 species